UCUCUCUCUCCAAGACACCAUUCUUCAUUUUCUGAAAUAAAAUCCUUCAAAAUAGAGGCAAAGAAGAAGACACCAGAAGGAAAAACAGAAACUUUUUCCCUGAAGAAGUAAAAGGAGAACUGGUAAGAAAGGGACUUAAUUGGAAAACAGGUGGAGGAGAAAGAAAUAUGUGGAUGGCAAAGCAAGAUGGCCACAUUAUUUAGCCCACUGGGUGACCUUCAGUCCAUGCAUUAUGGUGUCACUAAUUUGCAGUGACACCCCACUCGUGUGCCUUGGAGUUGGGUGAAUUUGAAGAAGACUGUGAAUAGGCCUCCUCAUUAGCAGUAGAAGGAUAAGUUCUGUAACACACUCUCUUUGGAAGAAAGCAGGCGGUUAAAAAGGGAUGCUCAGAACUGAGGCAAAUAAAGCCAAGCACACAGCAGGAUUCCUCAGAGAAGAAUUGAAAUGAAAGCACUGUAAGGAAACACCUAAUACCUACCCUCAGAGGUAGGGGCCCGGGCAGAGACAGCUGCAUCCUGGAGG